rnacentral:lncRNA from 1 species
CUGCCACUCACUGCGAUUUCGAAAGGGAGCUCCAAGAAGUCUAGGGAAAGAGCACAACAUCAAGCCCAUCGUGCUCUACAGUGUCGGGAAGAAGAUCUCUCGAAACGAAAGCGGAGAGAUGCUGCCAGAGUCCGUUGAUGAAGAGCCUGGACGUACCGAACCGAAGGACU